GGGGGAGGGAGGGUGGGG
rnacentral:miRNA from 1 species